UACGGGGGGAGCAAGCGUUGUUCGGAUUUACUGGGCGUAAAGGGCGCGUAGGCGGCCACCGCAAGUCAAUUGUGAAAUCUCCGGGCUUAACUCGGAAAGGUCAACUGAUACUGCGGGGCUAGAGUGCGGAAGGGGCAACUGGAAUUCUCGGUGUAGCGGUGAAAUGCGCAGAUAUCAGGAGGAACACCGGUGGCGAAGGCGGGUCUCUGGGCCGUAACUGACGCUGAGGAGCGAAAGCGUGGGGAGCGAACAGG
rnacentral:rRNA from 1 species